UAUCGGAACUGGAAAGGCUUUAGGAAAAUUUGGUGUCUCUAUGAUUCCUUUUGGAGCGGUCAGAUGAUAAUUGCAAUCUACGUUUGCAGUUGACGCUCCGAUUAUAGUCGAUGAACAGAGAUAAAAGAAAAGGAUGAGUCCUACGUAAAAGAACAUGAAAGUGUAGGAAUAUAACUCGUCUCGAAGCAAAGGAAAAUGAUCGUCGAUGACGUGUCAAAAGACUCUAAAGAAAACAAUGAGCUUUCAGAGAUAAUGACCAAGCUGAAAACGAAUUUAGAGGUCGGAGAUGCGUUUGAUACGAGCCACGAACGAGAAGCCACAAUUUACAGGGUAGCUGGGCGUUAGUCCCUUCCGUAUCUCUGAGCUUUCCGUGCGCAAGCUCUUCUUCGACCCCCGACCAAGCAUCCCUCUUUCCACCACUAUAUAUAUCUCGACCGAGUUGAGUCGCGAAUUUUGCUGAAACACGAGCAUUCCAAUUCGAGCCCGUAUUGUGAAUACAUGUAGUAGGUAUUUCUCGAAAUUUAUUGCUCAAUCGACAUUACAUCUAUUUUUAAUUAACUAACUUCUAUUAGAAAAUAUACACGACCAAUAAAUAGAUUUUACGGAUAAUACGGUUUAGAGGUAAAUAAAUGAGACCAAGCUAUUACUAAAUAGUAUUUAUUUGUGUAAUUAGAAACUCUAUGAUAGUCUUUGAACUAAAAACGUAUUAUCUUGAUCAUCGAUUAUGAAUUUUUCAUUUUGCGUAAAUUAAUUGAUAGAUGCUAUUUCGAUUUCAACACUCAUAUCGUCGGGAAGUUCGAUAAAUAUGUAUCGCCCACUAUAUUUUGCAUUUUGUACAUUUCCGUGUAUUUCUUAUCCUAAGUAGCAUGCCGUACGAUGUCACUCGUUUAAUCUACGCCGAUUAAAAAAAAGUCCUUACGCA